GACGAACGCUGGCGGCGUGCUUAACACAUGCAAGUCGAGCGGUAAGGCCCUUCGGGGUACACGAGCGGCGAACGGGUGAGUAACACGUGGGUGACCUGCCCUCAGCUCUGGGAUAAGCCUGGGAAACCGGUCUAAUACCGGAUAUGACUCCAUGACGCAUGUUGUGGGGUGGAAAGCCUUGUGCGGCUGAGGAUGGGCCCGCGGCCUAUCAGCUUGUUGGUGGGGUGAUGGCCUACCAAGGCGACGACGGGUAGCCGGCCUGAGAGGGCGACCGGCCACACUGGGACUGAGGCACGGCCCAGACUCCUACGGGAGGCAGCAGUGGGGAAUCUUGCGCAAUGGGCGAAAGCCUGACGCAGCGACGCCGCGUGAGGGAUGACGGCCU
rnacentral:rRNA from 1 species